rnacentral:rRNA from 1 species
GUAGGUGGCAAGCGUUGUCCGGAAUUAUUGGGCGUAAAGCGCGCGCAGGCGGUUCUUUAAGUCUGAUGUGAAAGCCCACGGGCUCAACCGUGGAGGGUCAUUGGAAACUGGAGAACUUGAGUACAGAAGAGGAAAGCGGAAUUCCACGUGUAGCGGUGAAAUGCGUAGAGAUGUGGAGGAACACCAGUGGCGAAGGCGGCUUUCUGGUCUGUAACUGACGCUGUGGCGCGAAAGCGUGGGGAGCAAACAGGAUUAGAUACCCUGGUAGUCCACGCCGUAAACGAUGAGUGCUAAGUGUUAGGGGGUUUCCGCCCCUUAGUGCUGCAGCUAACGCAUUAAGCACUCCGCCUGGGGAGUACGGCCGCAAGGCUG